UUCAUUGCUUCUGGGUUUGUUAUUGUUAAUUUGAGUUUAAAAAUGGGUUCUUUUUGGUUUUAAGUUUUUGUUGUUAUUAUGAACUGUUAUUAUGAUUGUUUGCUUUGGUUGAUUCUUUUUGUCAUUGAGUUGUUAUGUUUAUUUUGAUCGUUUUGAAUUGUGUUAGAGCAGACGAAUAAUUUACAGUGGACGCUGGCAUCUGUUCCUUUGACUAAAGCAUAGCACCUCACUCUAUCAUUCCUCUUCUGAGGUGGCAACAGGGCAUGGAGGGGUUGAAUAUCCCAUUUCUGAUCCUUGAAUGAAGGAAGCUUUUCAUGUCCGCGCUAGCAGGAUUACAAGGAAUCCUUGUCUUCAGCCCGCGGGGGAAUAUUCAUCCCCUUUCCUACCUCUUACCCCACCCCCACCCUGUCAACCUACUUUUGACCUAACUUCAUAAAACUGCAAAUUGGGAUGGUCUUCAGCUUUGCAAAUACUAAGGCUUUUGGUGUUAAUCUAGGACCCUUUACAGAAUGGUCAAAUUUCAGAGACAUCUUCAAGCACAAGACACAAACAUUCUGUCUACUUUAAUGAUGCUGUAUAGACAAAGUACAUCAUGUUCAAGAAAUUUCAGGGAGCUAUGCAGAUAGUAGCCAUGGCUGAAACAGUGAUACACCAUAACGUGGAUGACUCUUUGGAAAAUUAUUGGUUUCGCUUGUUAUUUUGAGAAUGGGCACAAUUUUUCAUCUUUCUGUACAUUGGGUGGACUUUUAGAUCAGAGGGCUUGGCCCCACGUUUCUCUGUUUUGCCAACUACGAAGUCUAAAGGGGAGAAAAUGUUGCUUCCCAUCUAUAGCAUUGCAAGUGUUUUUGCAUGUUUGAGCUCUUUGAAAUAUGUUCUACAUGUUAGAAUUGUGUAACCUAAUUCAAUUUAAAUUAAUUUUCCAUUAUGAUAUAGGUUUUCCUAAUAUGUUUCUAUGCAGAGUCUUUUUCUAAAAAAUACAAUUAAGGAUAGGAAUAUCAUUUGUUUUAAAUAUUAUAAUAAGAGUCUUAUUAGAAUAUGCGUUAUGAGUCUUAUUAGGAAUAGUAAUCAGAGUUAGGGAAUGAAAGGCUCAGUGUGAGGCUAGUGAGAGUCUCUUGUUAUUUUUCUUCUUCACAGUGAAAUUCCGUUGUGGCAAAAUGGACAGAACUCUCUUGAGAGAAUUAACCGUUAUAAAACUUGGGUUUUUGUGUGGUUAUUUUUAGUCCUUUGUUCACUGUUUUUUCACUUUCAUAGGGGUUUAGAAUUGCUAGCAUCCAAUUAAAUCCUUGCAAUUCUAGCAUUUUAGCUCUGCAAAUUAAUUUAUGUACAGGUAUAAACAGUUUGCUCUCAGGUUAUUGCAUAAACAAGUAACCGUAACUGUUUACCUUUGAAGAAAAAUUUUCAGAUAUUAUUUCCUACUUUUUGAUGAUACUGAACCUCUAAUUACAGGGAAUGGAUGCAGCAACAUUUAAAGAUUUGAAUCAUCAUGAAUGGCAUAUUAGUGUUGUAAGCACUACUAUAUGUAUAAUCCUCUACAUCGCAUUUCAUCCAUUAAUUUGUCUGUGUACAUACAUGAAUUAUUGUCUUAAUGACAUUGGAUUUACCAAAGGGAUCAGCAAGUUACUGGAUUGAUGAACAUCACUGACUCUUGAGAAUCAUUAACAUGAGAAUCAGCAAGUUAUUUUGCUUCUGUAGUGGUUCUCAAGAAUCAAUUACAGUACCGAUUCAGUAACAUGAUAGGACCAUUAUUACAAUUUUUACAACUGGUACUGAGUUUGGUAUGCCUGUUGUUUUCUGUUCAUUAUAUUAGCUGUCAAGUGUUCUUACAUGUUUUAAUGUUUGAUGUAGCCAACUUCUUAUGGUGAUGAAAGCUCGAACAAUUCUCUAGUGGUUUUUUCAGUACUUCUUAUGGUGAUGAAACAGCAACAGGCAAUUUUAUAUUAAUUUGAAAGCCAUAUAAUGUAGAAAUCUGUGAAUGCAGUAGACUGUGAAGGUUCAUUCACUUGGAUUAGAGCCCGCAGCCCAUCUACAUAUGCAUUCAAUAUUGUCAGUCAAUUGAAAACUGUAUAUUCUUUUCUAUUUGUGAGGUGAUCUCUUCAUAUGCCCUUGUCAUAUUUUUGGCAAAGAUAAGGUAUUCAUCCUACCAUGAAUUUGAUGUUCAA